ACAUAAACAUCCGCCAGGGUACUACGAGCGCAGCUUAAAACCCAAAGGACUUGGCGGUGUCUCAGACCCACCUAGAGGAGCCUGUUCUAGAACCGAUAACCCCCGUUUAACCUCACCAUUCCUUGUUUCUCCCGCCUAUAUACCGCCGUCGUCAGCUUACCCUGUGAAGGCCCAACAGUAAGCAAAAUGGACUUACUCCAAAACGUCAGGUCGAGGUGUAGCGUACGGAAUGGAAAGAAAUGGGCUACAUUUUCUACACAUAGAAUAUUACGAACGGCAUCCUGAAAACAUGCCUGAAGGUGGAUUUAGUAGUAAAAAACAAGCAGAGUGUCUUUUUGAAUUAGGCUCUGAGACGCGCACACACCGCCCGUCACUCUCCCCUUAUCUCUAUCCAAAUAAUUUAUAAUAAAACACUAAUCAAUGCGGGGAGGCAAGUCGUAACAUGGUAAGUGUACCGGAAGGUGCCCUUGGAACAAU
rnacentral:rRNA from 1 species